UCUCUUCCCAUCUUUUGGAGGAACUGAAGUUCAAAAUGAUAAAGUAAAUAAGAGAACUGAACAAGUUUUGAAGUGGUAACAUAUUUUCUCAGUGGGUGAAGAGACACGGCUUGUGUACAUGAACAAGAGCAUAUUAGAACCAACAAAUAAACUUUUCAACCAAAAUGUGAAAUAAAGUUUUUAUGUAUGUAGACACAGCAGAUAUUCAAACAUUAUAUUCAUCACCCGCACGCUGCUAGUGAAUAUAUAUUGUAUUCCACAGUACAAAUCACAACUAUCAUGGAGAUGUUUCUUUUCUGAUUCAGCAGGGGAAUUACAGUAUAAAAAAUCCAGGCAUUAGUAGUAAAAGUAGAAAUAAUUUUUGCAUAAAGCUUCCACCUAAAGUUCAAUACCUUGAUGCUAGCUAGAUUGCAGGUCUAAAUUUAUGUAAAAUGUAACCUUCUCUCUGGGCAUGGCCAGGGGUUUAAGACUCCUCGAGGUGAUUAUUGAGUAACGGCAGUUAAAUAAUUGCCCAGUCAGAGCCAAGAAAAUGAAAUUAAAAGGUAAUGUUAACACAAUUACGUGUCUUUAAUAUUUGUGCCAAUGACAACAAAGAUACACAAAUCAUAUCAUUUGUAGUCACUAUUUUGAGAGCAGAAGACAUAAAUGUACCCUGAGGCGGAUUAUCCUCCAAGAGUUCAGGUA
rnacentral:misc_RNA from 1 species